CUGGUGAAGCAGCCUCCCGGGGACAAUAAAGACGAGGCCAGGGUGUGUUUCGUUUUCUUGUUUCAUUCUUGUUUCAUAUCUUACACAUUGAACCUUUAAUGCCAGCAUGACCAAACUGGUUUUCUUACCUCUCCUCCUUCCCCACCCUGCUCCAUUCCCCCAUAUUCUCCCUGCAAGACAAAACAAGAACAGUGAGAACGAAUUCAACAGAAAAAGGUGGAGUAGAGAGGAUUAACGGAUGGGGUGAUGGCAGUGCAGAGGGCCUCAAGCACCAAUGGCCAUCUAGCUUUCGUUUUUCCUCCAGUGCUGAUGUAAUAAAGCAGUUAAGAGUACACAUACCAUGCUGUAGGAUGGACUCAACUCAUAUUAUCAUGCUUAAGACGUCCCUGGGGGUUCACUUAGUUUAUUAGAGCUAAACAGCAGGUAAGAGUGCCGGACUCCAGAUGCACAGGCCUUGUUCAGCCUGAGCAGUGCAUGAAGCUAUUUUGGUGCAUGCCAUUAGUAUAUAUUCACUGGCUUAUCUAACGUGCUGGAGAUGUGACUGAGAGCUCGUAUAUAUGUCACUUAACGCUACACAGGGGAGAUACGUGGUUAGAAAUGGAGAGUUUUAGUAUCAUUGUUGUCUAAACCACACCAAUGAGUGAGCGUCUGAGAGGUCAGAGCAAAAAGUUUGCGUUAUUCAGAGUAGGAAAUGGUGAAUUACUCACAAAGACAUCAUGUGUUUUUAUGCUGUAUACAGUCAAUGGAAGCUUUUAUCCAAAGCCCCAAAUACUGAAGGAUAUGUCUAUUUUAUUUGUGGAAGCAUAACUUCUGUUUCUUCUUUCCCCUCUUGACGCUCACUUAGUCUGUUGUGGGCUAUUAGCUUAUAUACACAGAGUUACCAGUUUAUUAAGCACGCCAUUUAAUGUAACCCAAAACAACAGUCCUGCAAUAAAACAUGAUGAUUCUGCAGGAAAAGUCAGAUUUAUUGCAGGUCUAUUGGAUUAGACUGUACAGGCAUACAUAACAAACUGGUAACUUGGUGCAUGUAGCAUGCAGAGUAUCCCCCUCUGUCUCUCCUUCAGCCCAGCCCACCCCAGCAUGACCUAUGACCCCACACCACUCUGUCCAAUAGGCACCUCGUAUACAGGCUCCUCCUAUAAGGGAAACAGAUGAGACACAACACAAACAACACAAGCGCCUCUCUGAUCACCAGCACUGUGCUCAUUAUAGUAUGAUCCCAAGCAGAUUAAAUUGUGGUUACAUAAUCUGCCAGAGUGAGGGAUAGAAGGAGGGGUAUAUCUGCUCUAAGAGAUGAAAGGGAAUCAUGGGAGGUAAGCAGAAACUGAGGAAGGAAAGGAAGAACAAAUCUGCAGAAUAACAUGAUUUUGUGCACACUGACUGUUCCCUCUUUUACAUAGAUGCUGCCAUUAACAGCAUCCUGCAUCCACCCGUGCUCUCUGUCUCCUGCUUCGCUCCAUCUCUCUGCACGCUCCCUGUGCUACAUGAGCCACGUGCCUGAGUGCUGAGCAGUACUGCAGUACAGCUCAACACACACUCACACUCACACACACACUGCAAUGACACAGCUUCUAUUUCCCAGUCAACAGAGGGAGCCACCUGAGUGUCAUUGUGAAUAUCUGUCUGUCACCGUCAUAAAGAACAGACUAUUCAAUCAAGAUUGGGGCGGAAGCAGAUACAAUUCUCCAGGUGAUGCGCAGGACACUCCUGAGCAUAUAACCAGAACAAGAAAUCCCUCUUUUAAAUAAUCCUGAUAGUAAAUGAUGAGCCUUAAUAAAUGCAGAUUGCAUGGAUUAGAGUUUGGCCGGUGUGUGAAAGCGGGUGUGCAGACAUUGAUACUGUGUGCCCACAUUCACAUGCUGACGUGUGCACUCUGCUGCAGGCAGAUACAAUGGUUUAUCGACGCCAUCGACCCUCCUCACUUCAGCGAUCACAUCCCCUCUCCUCCUCUAUUCUCCAUCACUCAGUCCCCCCACCCUUUUCUUUACCUGAGCUUGUCACCAACCUGUACUUUCUGAAACACUCAGGAUUCAUUUUCCAACCCCCACCCUCUGCCCUGCACCAGUCCUGCAGCAGUAUCCUGCCAGUGCUAUCUCCAUCCCCUUCUUUCUUCCUUCUCCUCCUCCUCCUCUUCCUCUUCCUCCUCCCCUGUUCCUGUCGCCUCUCACAAGUGUCCCAGACAUGGACACCCAUGGGACCCCACCUCAAACGCUCCACAGACAAGAUGUGUACGUACCUACAUACAUGACCCCUUCUUUGGUCUUGGCUGCUGCCUCCUCCAUGCCGGCUUUGGUCUUCUCUGCGGCGGCCACAACCCCCUCCUUGGCCAUGGAGAACCCCUUCAUCAGUACAUCCAUCUUGGGCGACGAGACGGCUGGGCUAGCCUGCUCCGAAUGGGCCUGGCUGGUGCUUACAGUGAGCGUGCAGAAGAGAUGAUGUGAGAUGUGAGAGUGUGUAUGCCUGUGUGAGUAUGCGUGUGUGUGCCGGUGGCUCCUCCUCCCUUUGGUGCUACAACAGAGAGCUGAGAGGACCGCACAGCAGGGCUACAGCACGCAGACUGAGAGAGGGGGGGAGGAAACAGCCGGUAUGCACAAGAUGGAGAGAAGAGGAGGAGGAGGAGGAGGAGGAGGAGGAGAGACGGCCGGAUGCUGCAGCAUUUUCAAGUCAUGCUGCAACCCACUCCUCAGCCACACCUCCACACGUCAUCCAUCUUUAUCCUGAUGAUUCUCACUCAGGAGUAGUGCAGCCUCCGGCUUGUUGUUUGCAUAUUUUGAUUGGCAGAUUGCUCUGGACGCACCUUUCUAGAUUCUGAGCUUGUGAGCGGUUACAUAACCAGCAGAGCUUUAGCACUGGAAGCAAAGAUAAUUCCUCACUUUAAAUAAUGUAGAUGCAUACUGUAUAUCACUAUUUUGUAUUUAAUUUAAUUUAAUAAAGAGGAAAAGAAGA